rnacentral:rRNA from 1 species
UACGUAGGGUGCGAGCGUUAAUCGGAAUUACUGGGCGUAAAGCGUGCGCAGGCGGUUCGUUGUGUCGGUGGUGAAAUCCCCGGGCUUAACCUGGGAAUGGCAUUUGGGACUGCAAGGCUCGAGUGCGGCAGAGGAGACUGGAAUUCCUGGUGUAGCAGUGAAAUGCGUAGAUAUCAGGAGGAACACCGAUGGCGAAGACAGGUCUCUGGGCUGACACUGACGCUCAUGCACGAAAGCGUGGGGAGCAAACAGG